UCUGAGCUGUCGGCACAGAGCCUGACACGGGGCUCAAACCCACGAACUGGGAGAUCGCGACCUGAGCCGAAGUCACUUAACCAACUGAGCCACCCAGGCGCCCCAUAAAAAGGCAACUUCAAGCUGAAAAACGAACAGAACGACACGAAUAAGGACACAUGGUCUCCUAGUGUACCUAAGUCCACGUGGAUGUUAAGUUCAGCAGGAAGGAGCCUGGGGUCCCUGCCGGCAUCACGCCGGCCACAGCAAAGAGCAGAGACGUGGACCGCGCGCCUCUACCCGCACACCACGCCUGUCCCUGGGCGGCCCUCUGCGCAGGCCCGGCUAGAGUCAUGACAGGUCUCAAAGAAGCAAGCUGGGCCCAGGAACGCAUGCGAGGAACAGGUAAUGUGUCCCCGCUAGGAGGAAACAAUGGUGAGAGGUCGGGGGGGGGGGGGGGUGGUGGUAGGAGAGUUUCACCGCACACCCUUUGGUACCGCCUGACUUUUGAACUGUGAAUAUGACAUCUAAUGGUAAAAAUUACUUAAAUUAGAUGUAUAAUUCUGGGACGAUGGAGUUGACGAUAUUUUCUCUACUUUUACUAGUAAGUACAACUCAAAUAUACUGGACAGGUGUUAAGACGAUUCUAAAAGGUGGAAAGGAAGCUGACCGGCUGGGGGACCUCAGGUGAGUUCCCUGUGUUUUCUUUCUGCUUCUGGUGUCCCAGACUUCGAGCUGAAGAAGCCAGCAACUCCGAAAAUCAACUGGCACAGACAAUACCUGAACAAAAGCCUACUCUUUCUAGUCUCUAGACAAAAGACUAGAAGAGAAGCAGCCUAGCCCGACAGAAAACUCAGAAAAUGAGCAAAAGACAUGACCUGACAUUUCAACAAAAAGGAGGUACAGAUGGCAGAUGAACCACAAGACGCCGGACAUCAUCAGCCACUAGGAAAAUGCACAUUAAAACCACAAUGGGAUAUGAUACGCUUGUCGCUGACGAAAUGUCCCAAACCAACAGAGCUGCCUGACCUGGGAAUCAGAUCCAUCCGCCCUAGUGGAAAAGACGCCCGCUCCUCCGGCCGCGCACCAGAGAAGGCUGCAGUUACCUGGCCUGGUCAAUUCACUGAAGAGAUGCAGGAGAAAGCAGGGGUCAUAAAGGCCAUCUAGAUCCACUGUGCUCCUGUCUUUGAAGAUCAGUUCCUGUCCAUCCUGAAACAGCCCGAAACAAAAAAAAUGUGUGGUUUGGCCUCUUAAACGUAAUAACAUGUGAAUACUCA